CAGUAGGAAUCUUCGGCAAUGGACGAAAGUCUGACCGAGCAACGCCGCGUGAGUGAAGAAGGUUUUCGGAUCGUAAACUCUGUUGGUAGAGAAGAACGUUGGUGAGAGUGGAAAGCUCAUCAAGUGACGGUAACUACCCAGAAAGGGACGGCUAACUACGUGCCAG
rnacentral:rRNA from 1 species